CGGGCGAGGGGCCGGUCUAAGUCUCUUGGAACGGGGCGUCAUAGAGGGUGAGAAUCCCGUAUGUGACCGGUGACUGAGCCCAUGUGAAACUCCUUCGACGAGUCGAGUUGUUUGGGAAUGCAGCUCAAAAUGGGUGGUAAAUUUCAUCUAAAGCUAAAUACCGGCCAGAGACCGAUAGCGCACAAGUAGAGUGAUCGAAAGAUGAAAAGCACUUUGGAAAGAGAGUCAAAAAGUACGUGAAAUUGUUGAAAGGGAAGCGCUUGCAACCAGACCUGCCCGCGGGUGAUCAACCGUCCUUCUGGGCGAUGCACUCGCCCGCGAUCAGGCCAGCAUCGGUUCGGGCGGUCGGAUAAAGGCCUUGGGAACGUAGCUCCUUUCGGGGAGUAUUAUAGCCCUCGGUGCAAUGCGGCCAGCCUGGACCGAGGACCGCGCUUCGGCUAGGAUGCUGGCGUAAUGGUUGUAAGCGGCCCGUCUUGAAACACGGACCAAGGAGUCUAACAUCUAUGCGAGUGUUUGGGUGGUCAAAGCCCAUACGCGUAAUGAAAGUGAACGGAGGUGGGAACCCGUUAGGGCGCACCAUCGACCGAUCCAGAUGUCUUCGGAUGGAUUUGAGUACGAGCAUAGCUGUUGGGACCCGAAAGAUGGUGAACUAUGCCUGAAUAGGGUGAAGCCAGAGGAAACUCUGGUGGAGGCUCGCAGCGGUUCUGACGUGCAAAUCGAUCGUCAAAUUUGGGUAUAGGGGCGAAAGACUAAUCGAACCAUC
rnacentral:rRNA from 1 species